UACGGGGGGGGCAAGCGUUGUUCGGAAUUACUGGGCGUAAAGGGCGCGUAGGCGGCCAUGCGUGUCUUCCGUGAAAUCCCUCGGCUUAACUGAGGACAUGCGGAAGAAACUGCAAGGCUCGAGUCCGGGAGAGGGGGGUGGAAUUCCCAGUGUAGCGGUGAAAUGCGUAGAUAUUGGGAGGAACACCGGUGGCGAAGGCGGCCCCCUGGACCGGUACUGACGCUGAGGCGCGAAAGCGUGGGUAGCAAACGGG
rnacentral:rRNA from 1 species